GCCGCUCCACGAAUCGCCAUUAACUGAUUCGCCAUUAGACUCCCCAAUGGAAACGGAGUCACCACUCCCACGUCCGCCGAGACCUAUUGGGAGAAAGGCGGCAAAGGCCAAGAGAGGGGCCACUUCGAACAUUGAUUGUGUUCAAAUAUUCGAGCAAAUAGCUAAGAACAACUCUCUAAGAUUGGAGAGAGACUUGAGG
rnacentral:lncRNA from 1 species